GGUGCUCAGUGGUAGAGUGCUUGCCUUGCAUGCAUGAGGGCCUGGGUUCAAUUCCUCAGCACCA
rnacentral:tRNA from 1 species